rnacentral:lncRNA from 12 species
GGGGGGGGGGGGGGGGGGCCCCCCCCGCGCCUUUCAGCCAAUAGGAAACCGCGGCGGCAACAGGUGGCGGGUGAGGCCGCGGCCGCCAUGUUGGAUGAGGGCAGCGCCGUGAGGGAGAGGAAGGGACGGCGACAGCUGCUUGUGGCUGGGAGAGGUGGCGAGACAGGAGGAAAAAAUGGAUUUUCCCCGCAGUGUUUGGGCCAAUCGUUCACUCUCUCUCCCUCCUGCUGAGGCUCUUCCCGCUCCAGGGAGCAGCUCUGGAGCUCCCCUCCCUCUGCUCCCGUGGUGCCGGGACACGCUGCACUCCCCGAGGGCGCUGCCACCCUUGGGUGCCACCCCACAUCUCCAGGAUCUGUUUUCAUCCCAGGUGUCUGGGGCUGUAACAUAGGAUGUGGCCAGCAAUGUGGAUUCUGUCCCAUCUGCUGCAGCCAUGGGGCAGUGCCCCUGAUCUCCUGGCACACAUUAUCUGCUCAUGGGCCAGCUUUAAACCAGCUGGGCAAUCAUCUUUAUCUUCCCACAGCCCAUCCUC